rnacentral:tRNA from 1 species
GCAGUGUUGGUUCAGUGGGAGAAUUCCCACCUUCCAUGUGGGAGACCUGGGUUCUAUUCCUGGCUAAUGCG